rnacentral:piRNA from 1 species
UACCUGCUUUGACCACUUUUCUUCCA